UACGUAGGGGGCAAGCGUUGUCCGGAUUUAUUGGGCGUAAAGAGCGUGUAGGCGGCCAUACAGGUCAGCUGUGAAAACUCGAGGCUCAACCUCGAGACGUCGGUUGAAACCGUAUGGCUAGAGUCCGGAAGAGGAGAGUGGAAUUCCCGGUGUAGCGGUGAAAUGCGCAGAUAUCGGGAAGAACACCCGUGGCGAAGGCGGCUCUCUGGGACGGUACUGACGCUGAGACGCGAAAGCGUGGGGAGCGAACAGA
rnacentral:rRNA from 1 species